rnacentral:rRNA from 1 species
GAUGAACGCUGGCGGCGUGCCUAAUACAUGCAAGUCGAACGAAACUUCUUUAUCACCGAGUGCUUGCACUCACCGAUAAAGAGUUGAGUGGCGAACGGGUGAGUAACACGUGGGCAACCUGCCCAAAAGAGGGGGAUAACACUUGGAAACAGGUGCUAAUACCGCAUAACCAUAGUUACCGCAUGGUAACUAUGUAAAAGGUGGCUAUACUACCGCUUUUGGAUGGGCCCGCGGCGCAUUAGCUAGUUGGUAGGGUAAAGGCUUACCAAGGCAAUGAUGCGUAGCCGAAUUGAGAGGUUGAUCGGCCACAUUGGGACUGAGACACGGCCCAAACUCCUACGGGAGGCAGCAGUAGGGAAUCUUCCACAAUGGGCGAAAGCCUGAUGGAGCAACGCCGCGUGGGUGAAGAAGGUCUUCGGAUCGUAAAACCCUGUUGUUAGAGAAGAAAGUGCGUGAGAGUAACUGUUCACGUUUCGACGGUAUCUAACCAGAAAGCCACGGCUAACUACGUA